UGGCUGGGCGCCGGCGAGGGAUGGCCACUGACUCGCGCCCGUAGCAAGUGCUGCAGGAGCGUGUCUCGUAUGAUGGCGGCGGCGCGGUGGGUGAACGGCUAACAGACGAUAGCUGGGUGGAGAGGCUGGGACGGCACUGGCCAGGAGGAGGAGUUGCAUCCAUGGGAGGAUCGGUAGAUGGGAAGACAAGGGAGAAGGUGCUCGUGGAACGCGCUGCCGAUGUCUUCUUCGGUGGCAGCGGGAAUAGGGACCAGGUCCCGGCAAGCGCAUACCCUAGCGUGGUAGGCUGCUAUGCAGCAGGACUGAGGCCAACAAUUGUUGCUGCAUCAGAUGGAUGGUGAAGGCCGCAACAGUUCGCCGCCUUCUCUACUAAGCACCUGGCAGUCGGGAUGCUCCAAACCUUCAUGUAAAUUGGUGCAAUUAGCAGCAAGGGAGGAUGAGCAACGGGAGUGGUAUACUCGUUUCAAG